rnacentral:rRNA from 1 species
CCCAGACUCCUACGGGAGGCAGCAGUGAGGAAUAUUGGUCAAUGGGCUUACGCCUGAACCAGCCAAGCCGCGUGAGGGAGGAAGGUACAGAGUAUCGUAAACCUCUUUUGUCAGGGAACAAAGGCGGGGACGUGUCCCCGGAUGAGUGUACCUGAAGAAAAAGCAUCGGCUAACUCCGUGCCAGCAGCCGCGGUAAUACGGAGGAUGCGAGCGUUAUCCGGAUUUAUUGGGUUUAAAGGGUGCGCAGGCGGUCUGUUAAGUCAGCGGUCAAAGCCCGGGGCUCAACCUCGCUCCGCCGUUGAAACUGGCGUUCUUGAGUGGGCGAGAAGUAUGCGGAAUGCGUGGUGUAGCGGUGAAAUGCAUAGAUAUCACGCAGAACUCCGAUUGCGAAGGCAGCAUACCGGCGCCCAACUGACGCUGAAGCACGAAAGCGUGGGUAUCGAACAGGAUUAGAUACCCCAGUA